CGGGCUGGACCUCUCGGGGUUACAGCCUUGCUGAAUUAUUCACCCUUGUCUUUUGCGUACUUCUUGUUUCCUUGGUGGGUUCGCCCACCACUAGGACAAACAUAAACCUUUUGUAAUUGCAAUCAGCGUCAGUAACAAAUUAAUAAUUACAACUUUCAACAACGGAUCUCUUGGUUCUGGCAUCGAUGAAGAACGCAGCGAAAUGCGAUAAGUAGUGUGAAUUGCAGAAUUCAGUGAAUCAUCGAAUCUUUGAACGCACAUUGCGCCCUUUGGUAUUCCAAAGGGCAUGCCUGUUCGAGCGUCAUUUGUACCCUCAAGCUUUGCUUGGUGUUGGGCGUCUUGUCUCUAGCUUUGCUGGAGACUCGCCUUAAAGUAAUUGGCAGCCGGCCUACUGGUUUCGGAGCGCAGCACAAGUCGCACUCUCUAUCAGCAAAGGUCUAGCAUCCAUUAAGCCUUUUUUUCAACUUUGACCUCGGAUCAGGUAGG
rnacentral:rRNA from 1 species